rnacentral:rRNA from 1 species
AUUGAACGCUGGCGGCGUGCUUAACACAUGCAAGUCGAACGUGAAAGUCCUUCGGGGCGAGUAAAGUGGCGCACGGGUGAGUAACGCGUGGAUAAUCUACCCUUAAGAUGGGGAUAACGGCUGGAAACGGUCGCUAAUACCGAAUACGCUCCCGAUUUUAUCGUUGGGGGGAAAGAUGGCCUCUGCUUGCAAGCUAUCGCUUAAGGAUGAGUCCGCGUCCCAUUAGCUAGUUGGCGGGGUAACGGCCCACCAAGGCGACGAUGGGUAGCCGGGCUGAGAGGAUGACCGGCCACACUGGAACUGGAACACGGUCCAGACUCCUACGGGAGGCAGCAGUGGGGAAUAUUGCGCAAUGGGCGAAAGCCUGACGCAGCGACGCAGCGUGAGGGAUGAAGGUUCUCGGAUCGUAAACCUCUGUCAGGGGGGAAGAAACCCCCUCGUGUGAAUAAUGCGAGGGCUUGACGGUACCCCCAAAGGAAGCACCGGCUAACUCCGUGCCAGCCGCCGCAGUAA